GCAGGAAGUAGAGCCAAGAAGAUGGGGACUGUGGAAGACAAGAAGGCGGUGGCUCCUUUACCUAAACACUCUUACUGGUUCGACUUUUGGGUUUUUCUGAUGUUCGACAUCGUCUUUUUCCUCUUCAUCUAUUUUGUUGUCCCAUAAACGUCUGCUGGAAUCCGGGUGUUAUGGAAGGACCAGACCCCGUGGCUCGGUUGCAGAACAGAUGACGGCUUCCUGACAGCUGGGUCCUGGUUCCAUGGCUUCAGCUGAUCUCCUCCCGCUACCCUCUUACCAGAACACUGAACGUUGACCAUCAACACGUCCCUGCAGAGUCCAGCGUAGCUUUAAAAACAGCCAGCUAACAUUCCAUUACAAGCCAUGAAGCCUAAUACAGAACACUGAUUAAUAUGAAAAACUCAUUUAAGUUAUUUUUUUUAAAUAUCUUUCACUUGUUAAUAAUUAAAAUGUGUGUGUGGGCAGAGAGUGAUAAUUUGAGAGAAUGAUGACGAUGGAAUUAAUUGAAAAGUAAAUAAAAUUCACUAAGCUAUUUUUCAA